rnacentral:rRNA from 1 species
UCCAGACUCCUACGGGAGGCAGCAGUGGGGGAUAUUGCACAAUGGGGGAAACCCUGAUGCAGCGACGCCGCGUGAGUGAAGAAGUAAUUCGUUACGUAAAGCUCUAUCAGCAGGGAAGAAAAUGACGGUACCUGACUAAGAAGCCCCGGCUAACUACGUGCCAGCAGCCGCGGUAAUACGUAGGGGGCAAGCGUUAUCCGGAUUUACUGGGUGUAAAGGGAGCGUAGGCGGCUGUGUAAGCCAGAAGUGAAAGCCCGGGGCUCAACUCCGGGACUGCUUUUGGAACUACAUGGCUUGAUUGCAGGAGAGGCAAGUGGAAUUCCUAGUGUAGCGGUGAAAUGCGUAGAUAUUAGGAGGAACACCAGUGGCGAAGGCGGCUUGCUGGACUGUAAAUGACGCUGAGGCUCGAAAGCGUGGGGAGCAAACAGGAUUAGAUACCCCAGUAC